rnacentral:snRNA from 1 species
GGAUAUGAGGGUAAUCUGGCUGUCUCCCCGGUGAUGGAGAGGGUUGAUUUGCUGAUCUGACUGGCUAAGCCCUCACCCCUACCUGUGUGUCCGUCCGGAAGUUGUGCAGUUGGUUGAAGAGGAUGACCCUCCCUGAUAACAGAGGACUCUUCCUGGGUCAAGGCUAUAGGAGUAGCUACUCCCUCCCCUGCUGGAACCUCUAAACAAGUUGUCAAGGUCCAUUAGUAGGAGAAUUAGGGUGGUCAAACUUCAAGGAUUCCAGACCCUUCCAAAUGAGGCACUGCACGGGGCAGUCUGCUUUUCUUU